UAGGGAAUCUUCGGCAAUGGACGAAAGUCUGACCGAGCAACGCCGCGUGUGUGAAGAAGGUUUUCGGAUCGUAAAACUCUGUUGUUAGAGAAGAACAAGGACGUUAGUAACUGAACGUCCCCUGACGGUAUCUAACCAGAAAGCCACGGCUAACUACGUGCCAGCAGCCGCGGUAAUACGUAGGUGGCAAGCGUUGUCCGGAUUUAUUGGGCGUAAAGCGAGCGCAGGCGGUUUCUUAAGUCUGAUGUGAAAGCCCCCGGCUCAACCGGGGAGGGUCAUUGGAAACUGGGAGACUUGAGUGCAGAAGAGGGGAGUGGAAGUCCAUGUGUAGCGGUGAAAUGCGUAGAUAUAUGGAGGAAAACCAGUGGCGAAGGCGGCUCUCUGGUCUGUAACUGACGCUGAGGCUCGAAAGCGUGGGGAGCAAACAGG
rnacentral:rRNA from 1 species